AGCAGCGUGGCUCAGUGGAAAGAGCACGGGCUUGGGAGUCAGAGUUCAUGGGUUCGAAUCCCGGCUCUGCCU
rnacentral:tRNA from 1 species